rnacentral:rRNA from 1 species
AAUAGAUACCCUGGUAGUCCUAGCCGUAAACGAUGAACACUAGAUGUUGGUGGUAUCAACCCCGCCAGUGUCGUAGCUAACGCAUUAAGUGUUCCGCCUGGGGAGUACGGCCGCAAGGCUAAAACUCAAAGGGAAUUGACGGGGGCCCGCACAAGCAGCGGAGCGUGGGGUUUAAUUCGACGCAACGCGAAGAACCUUACCAGGGCUUGACAUGACCAGGAAUCCGGCGGAAACGUCGGCGCCUCGCAAGAGGCCUGGCCACAGGUGUUGCAUGGCUGUCGUCAGCUCGUGUCGUGAAAUGUUGGGUUAAGUCCCGCAACGAGCGCAACCCCUACUGUGUGUUGUAUCACUCACACGGGACUGCCGAGAGAAACUCGGAGGAAGGUGGGGACGACGUCAAGUCAGCAUGGCCCUUACGGUCCUGGGCUACACCCACGCUACAAUGGCCGGUACAACGGGCUGCGAAACCGCGAGGUGGAGCUAAUCCCUUAAAGCCGGUCUCAGUUCGGAUCGCAGGCUGCAACUCGCCUGCGUGAAGCCGG